rnacentral:rRNA from 1 species
UCGAGAAUUUUUCUCAAUGGGGGAAACCCUGAAGGAGCGACGCCGCGUGGGGGAUGAAGGGCUUCGGCCCGUAAACCCCUGUCAUUUGCGAACAAAUGUCAUGGUUGAACAUUCCAUGGCUUGAUUGUAGCGAAAGAGGAAGGGACGGCUAACUACGUGCCAGCAGCCGCGGUCAUACGUAGGACCCAAGCGUUAUCCGGAGUGACUGGGCGUAAAGAGUUGCGUAGGCGGACAAGUAAGCGAAUAGUGAAAUCUGGUGGCUCAACCAUCAACACAUUGUUCGAACUGCUGGUCUCGAGAAUGGUAGAGGUAGUUGGAAUUUCUUGUGUAGGAGUGAAAUCCGUAGAUAUAAGAAGGAACACCAAUGGCGUAGGCAGACUACUGGACCAUUUCUGACGCUGAGGCACGAAAGCGUGGGGAGCGAA